GUUUCAACAACAACAACAAAAAGAACAAGAAUGAAAGUUCUUUAAAUGUUUUUCAUUGUGCAUAAUGGCAGCAACACUCUCACAACCACUGUGGUGUUUGUGUUUAAGUAACGUCUAGUCCUUACACAGAAGCUAAGCUAAGCUUACUUGUAGGCUCCAGCCCAGGAUGUAGAUGUUGCACUCAAAGGCAACCUUAUCCGUGACUUUGUGAAGGUGCCGUGUCGCACUUCUUGUCGCAAAAUCAAACCAGAGGACCCCACGGAAUCUCCAAAUGGAUUCAGGACGACGUAGAUGAAGCUCUGGGACUUUCUGUGUGUCGUUGUGUCAAUUGGAAGCGGCUAUACGUAUAUAUAUGUUAGG